AUGAGAAAUAGGGGAGAGACUACGUUUGUAGCGCCGAAGGAGCAAGCAAUAUUAUUUGUGAAUCUCUCAGGCAAAAGAACUCUAUUUGGACG
rnacentral:ncRNA from 2 species